GGGAGUAUAGCUUAUUGGUAAAGGUCAUGCCUAGCAUGCAUGGGGUCUUGGGUUUAAUCCCCAGUACUUUCA
rnacentral:tRNA from 1 species